GUCCUCCUAGCUCAAUUGGAUAGAGCGCAGGCUUGCGGAGCCUGAGGUUACAGGUUCGAUCCCUGUGGAGGACG
rnacentral:tRNA from 4 species